GGGGUCCUUAAAGGGCGGUUUCGUGUGCUCCACCGCACUGGUGGCGACAUCAUGUAUUCGCCGGAGAUGGCAAGUAAAAUAGUGGUCCUGUGCGCUAUACUCCACAAUAUCGCGGUAAGGAGUAGCGUAGAGCUUCCUCAGACAGAGGAAUUGCCUGAUGAGGAGCCAGGGGUUGUCCGACACUUCGGUGGGGGGAGUGUUACAAGGAGGGGGAGCCAAGUCAGGGCAAGCAUUGUUGCUGAAUUUUUCAGCUGAAAGACCACACAAACUGAGGACGACCACAACGGCAAGCACCACAUGAUGCACCAGCUCAGCACCCUUCCCCUUCUCACUCCCCCUCCACUUCCCAGUCCCCCUCCCCUUCUCACUCCCCCUCCCCUUCUCACUCCCCCUCCCCUUCUCACUCCCCCUCAGCUUCCCAAUCCCCCUCAGCUUCCCAAUCACCCUCAGCUUCACAAUCCACCUCAGCUUCCCAGUCACCCUCAGCUUCCCAGGCCCCCUCAGCUUCCCAGGCCCACUCCACUUUCCACUCCCCUUCUCAGCCAACCUCUCCUUCUCUUUCUGUGACCCCUUCUCCUCCUUCCCAUACCCCUUCUCCUUCUACUUCCAACUCACCUUCUCAGCCCCCCUCACCCUCUAUUGGCCUAACAUUUUCACCGCCCCCCUCGCCCUCUCAAUCAGACCCACCCUCUGAAAUUACAUCCCCAAUCCAACCUCCUUCCCCCAUCCAGCCUCCUUCCCCCAUCAAGCCUCCUUCCCCCAUCCAGCCUCCUUCCCCCAUCCAGCCUCCUUCCCCAAUCCCUCCUCCUUCCCCCAUCCAGCCGCCUUCCCCCAUCCAGCCGCCAUCCCCACCCAGUGAAUGGGCAGAGGAAGCCCCUGAAGACAGUUCAGGGAGUCUUCAUGUUGCCGAGGAAAAUGUUGCAGUUGGAGAUCCUACAAGUUUUGGAGGCAUUCUUUACACCAUGCGCCAACACCUGCAAGGAUUAAUGCAUUGUGUUGAUA